CAACAGUACGUGAAACCGCAUAGAGGUAAACGGGUGGAUCCGCAAAGUCGGCCCGCGGAAUUCAGCUCGGAAGGCUGCGCGCCUGCCGCCGGGUAGGAGAUCGCAAGACUCUCCCGGCGCGGGACGCGUGUCGGCCGUGUGCACUUUCCGUGGGCAGAGCGCCACGACCGGUUUCCGGGCGGUCAGAAGGCGGCGAGGAUGGUAGGCGCGUGCCUCGGCGCGCGCUGGUAUAGCCUCGCCUGUCCCGAUCCGCCUGGGGACCGAGGAGCCGCCGUGGGCUGGGGCCGCCUCGCCCUCCCGGGACGUUCGACUGGCAGAGACUGGGUGACCGUGUCUGCCGACCGCUUCCUGGGACGGACUGGGGUGGGCCCGCCCUCACAGGGUCAGUGGCGAAUCGGUCGGCCCUCCACCCGACCCGUCUUGAAACACGGACCAAGGAGUCUAACAUGCGCGCGAGUCGUUGGGUCGUACGAAACCCGAAGGCGAAGUGAAAGCGAGGGCCGUCUCUGACGCGCUCAGGUGGGAUCCCGGUCCCUCCGCGGGCUGGGCGCACCACCGGCCCGUCUCGUCCGCGUGU
rnacentral:rRNA from 1 species